rnacentral:rRNA from 1 species
AUAUCAAUAAGCGGAGGAAAAGAAACCAACAGGGAUUGCCUCAGUAACGGCGAGUGAAGCGGCAAGAGCUCAAAUUUGAAAUCUGGCCCCGCGGGGGGUCUGAGUUGUAAUUUGGAGAGGAUGCUUCGGGUACGGUCCCCAUCUAAGUGCCCUGGAACGGGCCGUCAUAGAGGGUGAGAAUCCCGUCUGGGAUGGGUGACCGGGCCCGUGUGAAGCUCCUUCGACGAGUCGAGUUGUUUGGGAAUGCAGCUCUAAAUGGGUGGUAAAUUUCAUCUAAAGCUAAAUAUUGGCCGGAGACCGAUAGCGCACAAGUAGAGUGAUCGAAAGAUGAAAAGCACUUUGAAAAGAGAGUUAAACAGCACGUGAAAUUGUUGAAAGGGAAGCGCUUGCGACCAGACUCGGUCAGGGGGUUCAGCCGGUACUCGUACCGGUGCACUUUCCCCUGGCUGGGCCAGCGUCGGUUUGGGCGGCCAGUUAAAGGCCCCGGGAAUGUGUCGCCCUUCAGGGCGUCUUAUAGCCCGGGGCGCAAUGUGGCCAGCCCGGACUGAGGAACGCGCUUCGGCUCGGACGCUGGCAUAAUGGUCGUAAGCGGCCCGUCUUGAAACACGGACC